AAACUUGAUAACCCAAUUGUAUUGUAUUGUAUUUUCACACCGAUUAACCUGACAAAUCAUUUAUUUGACGGCGAUACCAUGUCCUGGUUUACAUCAAUGUAAACAGUAAAUGCAAUCAGCCCGAUGGGCUCCUUAUAUAUUUAUGUGGUAUACAGUUACCUGUUUAGUAGCAGGAUGGAUUUAAUCGAGCAAGUUUCAAAGUAUGGAAUGAAAAUAUGGCAAAUCAAUCAAUACUUAUUCAAAAAUUUGCAACACAUUCUGUUUACAAAACUGGAAAAAUUCUGGGGCAAGGAUCUUUUUCUGUGGUUGAUAAACGAAUUUUGGGGGGUAAUUAUGUCGCUAUUAAAACAAUAAGAAGGCAAAGCAAUAUACUUUGUCAAGUUAACGAAAUUAAUAUUUAAGUCGGCUUUGCCAUGAUAAUGUUGUUAAAAUGUUUGGUGUCCUUGAUGAUCCAGAUCCAGAUACCAAAAUCGUACUGGAAUAUCUAGAAUGCGGUUGCUUAUUUGAAUAUGUGUUAAAGACAGAAAUGACUGAGUCGGAUCAACUAAUUAUACUCAAAGGUAUCUCCAAAGGUAUGCAAUAUCUGCACGAGAUGAAUGUGAUCCACAGGGACCUCGCAUCCAGAAAUAUAUUGUUGGGGUCGCAAUUGACUGCAAAAAUUUCAGAUUU